GUUGCAGGUUAAAAAGCUCGUAGUUGGAUCUCAGUUCACGCUAAGUGGUCCACCUAAUGGUGGUUACUACUUAGCUGAGCAUUUUACAGAUUUGUCUCUUGAUGCUCUUCACCGAGUGUCAAGAGUGGUCUGUACGUUUACUUUGAAAAAAUUAGAGUGCUUAAAGCAGGCAACUCGCCCGAAUAAUCUUGCAUGGAAUAAUGGAAUAGGACCUUGGUUCUAUUUUGUUGGUCUCCGGAAUCUGAGGUAAUGAUUAAGAGGGACAGACGGGGGCAUUCGUAUUGCGCCGCUAGAGGUGAAAUUCUUGGACCGGCGCAAGACGAACUACAGCGAAAGCAUUUGCCAAGAAUGUUUUCAUUAAUCAAGAACGAAAGUUAGAGGUUCGAAGGCGAUCAGAUACCGCCCUAGUU
rnacentral:rRNA from 1 species